rnacentral:rRNA from 1 species
UACGUAGGUGGCGAGCGUUGUCCGGAUUUACUGGGCGUAAAGGGAGCGUUGGCGGACUUUUAAGUGAGAUGUGAAAUACUCGGGCUCAACUUGAGUGCUGCAUUUCAAACUGGAAGUCUAGAGUGCAGGAGAGGAGAAUGGAAUUCCUAGUGUAGCGGUGAAAUGCGUAGAGAUUAGGAAGAACACCAGUGGCGAAGGCGAUUCUCUGGACUGUGACUGACGCUGAGGCUCGAAAGCGUGGGGAGCAAACAGG